UCCAUUUCUUUUGAUAUCAUUUUUUUGAAAAUUUUACUCAUAAUCUGCUCACUGGGGGGGAUUUAAAAUUGUAACUUUUUAACAAAAACUAACUUUUUCAACUUAAUUUUUGAAAAUGUUCCGGAAAUACUUCGUUCUUUAAAUAUAUAUCAAAUUAAAAAUUAUUUUAUGUACUCUAAAAUAAAAAAAAAAAUUUGUCCCGACACUUUAUCUUUUGCAUGCAAACGGCUGCCGUAGUUAAAAAAACGCUAUUUUUGUGUUAAAAUCAUGGGUUUUGUAUUUUAUUUUAUUUUAAAAUAUCUUAUAAAGGCAAUACACUGACUUUCAUAAAUAUUAUAUAAUUUAAUUGACAUAAAAUAAAGUUCGAAAAAACUAAAAAAGAAGAAAUUUCUUAUUCAUGUUAAUAUUAUUUUACUGUGUGAUUCUUUUGUGGCCAUGAAACCCUCACUUAACUUAUUUUUUUCAACGAUACGUCAAUUGAUUACAAUUCGUAUUUAGUUGAAGAUAUUACUCUCAAAAUUUGAAAAAAAUCCCUUAAUCAAAUAACAAGUAGCUUAACCAGCUUUAUCCAUACAAACAAUUAAAAUCAUUAAACAUUAAAUGUAAUAUUCUCCUUUGGAAUAUUAAUAAAAUCAAUGUGUUUAAUAUUUAAUAUUUAUUUAAACAUUUUUCAUGUUUCUAUUAUAAUAGUAGAAUCAGUUUAAUAAUGAAUCAGUUGAUGGAAAUUGUCUUCAUCUUGGAACACAACCAUGGUUAAAUUUCGAUACGGAGGAAGAUUUGAUGGAUCUAAUAACACAGGGAACGUAUGUUGAUGAUAUAAAAACCACCAGAUUAUCAAGAAAUGAUAAAAGACGUUAGGAGUUGGAAUGUAGAAUUUGAUGACGAAGAAUGUGCUCGAGAGAUUGAUGAAUUAUCUCUAUACGUGUUCAAAAAUUAUGAAACACACUGGAAGAAACAGAAGUUAAAUAAGAAGAUGGAAUACUCCAUUUGAUUGAGCCAUCUUGAUUAAAUGGUUUUUUGCUUUGUGUAGUUUUUUUAUACUUUUAAUUAGAUAGUUAAUUAGUGUAUCAUUAGAACUAUAAACAUUUAAAAGAGAGGGGAAGAGAAAA